UUAUAAAGAGCAAGAAUUUGUGUAUGGUUUCGGCCCAUAAUUUAUAGGUAAUAACCCUUUUUUAUAAU
rnacentral:tRNA from 1 species